rnacentral:rRNA from 1 species
CUGGCGGCGUGCCUAAUACAUGCAAGUAGAACGCUGAAGAGAGGAGCUUGCUCUUCUUGGAUGAGUUGCGAACGGGUGAGUAACGCGUAGGUAACCUGCCUUGUAGCGGGGGAUAACUAUUGGAAACGAUAGCUAAUACCGCAUAACAAUGGAUGACACAUGUCAUUUAUUUGAAAGGGGCAAUUGCUCCACUACAAGAUGGACCUGCGUUGUAUUAGCUAGUAGGUGAGGUAAUGGCUCACCUAGGCGACGAUACAUAGCCGACCUGAGAGGGUGAUCGGCCACACUGGGACUGAGACACGGCCCAGACUCCUACGGGAGGCAGCAGUAGGGAAUCUUCGGCAAUGGGGGCAACCCUGACCGAGCAACGCCGCGUGAGUGAAGAAGGUUUUCGGAUCGUAAAGCUCUGUUGUAAGUCAAGAACGGGUGUGAGAGUGGAAAGUUCACACUGUGACGGUAGCUUACCAGAAAGGGACGGCUAACUACGUGCCAGCAGCCGCGGUAAUACGUAGGUCCCGAGCGUUGUCCGGAUUUAUUGGGCGUAAAGCGAGCGCAGGCGGUUUGAUAAGUCUGAAGUUAAAGGCUGUGGCUCAACCAUAGUUCGCUUUGGAAACUGUCAAACUUGAGUGCAGAAGGGGAGAGUGGAAUUCCAUGUGUAGCGGUGAAAUGCGUAGAUAUAUGGAGGAACACCGGUGGCGAAAGCGGCUCUCUGGUCUGUAACUGACGCUGAGGCUCGAAAGCGUGGGGAGCGAACAGGAUUAGAUACCCUGGUAGUCCACGCCGUAAACGAUGAGUGCUAGGUGUUGGAUCCUUUCCGGGAUUCAGUGCCGCAGCUAACGCAUUAAGCACUCCGCCUGGGGAGUACGACCGCAAGGUUGAAACUCAAAGGAAUUGACGGGGGCCCGCACAAGCGGUGGAGCAUGUGGUUUAAUUCGAAGCAACGCGAAGAACCUUACCAGGUCUUGACAUCCCGAUGCUAUUUCUAGAGAUAGAAAGUUACUUCGGUACAUCGGUGACAGGUGGUGCAUGGUUGUCGUCAGCUCGUGUCGUGAGAUGUUGGGUUAAGUCCCGCAACGAGCGCAACCCCUAUUGUUAGUUGCCAUCAUUCAGUUGGGCACUCUAGCGAGACUGCCGGUAAUAAACCGGAGGAAGGUGGGGAUGACGUCAAAUCAUCAUGCCCCUUAUGACCUGGGCUACACACGUGCUACAAUGGUUGGUACAACGAGUUGCGAGUCGGUGACGGCGAGCUAAUCUCUUAAAGCCAAUCUCAGUUCGGAUUGUAGGCUGCAACUCGCCUACAUGAAGUCGGAAUCGCUAGUAAUCGCGGAUCAGCACGCCGCGGUGAAUACGUUCCCGGGCCUUGUACACACCGCCCGUCACACCACGAGAGUUUGUAACACCCGAAGUCGGUGAGGUAACCUUUUGGAGCCAGCCGCCUAAGGUGGGACAGAUGAUUG